UUAUUCUUACGGUCAGGACUUACAAAGCUAACAUAAGAUUACAGGACAUACAAAGGUAACAUAAGAUGACAUGACAUACAAAGGUGACAUAAGAUGACAGGACUUACAAAAGUAACAUAAGAUGAUAGGACAUACAAAGGUAACAUAAGAUGACAGGACAUACAAAGGUGACAUACGAUGACAGGGCAUACAAAGGUGACAUAAGAUGACAGGACAUACAAAGGUAACAUAAGAUGACAGGACAUACAAAGGUGACAUAAGAUGACAGGACAUACACAGGUGACAUGAGAUGACAGGACUUACAAAGCUAACAUAAGAUGACAGGACAUACAAAGGUACCAUAAGAUGACAGUACAUACAAAGGUGACAUACGAUGACAGGACAUACAAAGGUACCAUAAGAUGACAGUACAUACAAAGGUGACAUACGAUGACAGGACAUACAAAGGUAACAUAAGAUGACAGGACAUACAAAGGUGACAUACAAUGACAGGACAUACAAAGGUACCAUAAGAUGACAGGUCAUACAAAGGUGACAUACGAUGACAGGACAUACAAAGGUGACAUAAGAUGACAGGACAUACAAAGGUAACAUAAGAUGACAGGACAUACAAAGGUAACAUAAGAUGACAGGACAUACAAAGGUGACAUAAGAUGACAGGACAUACAAAGGUAACAUACGAUGACAGGACAUACAAAGGUAACAUAAGAUGACAGGACAUACAAAGGUAACAUAAGAUGACAGGACAUACAAAGGUGAGAUGACAGAACAUACAAAGGUAACAUAAGAUAACAGGACAUACAAAGGUGGGAUGACAAAACAUACAAAGGUGACAUAAGAUGACAGGACAUACAAAGGUGACAUAAGAUGACAGGACAUACAAAGGUAACAUAAGAUGACAGGACAUACAAAGGUGACAUAAGAUGACAGGACAUACAAAGGUAACAUAAGAUGACAGGACAUACAAAGGUGACAUAAGAUGACAGGACAUACAAAGGUUACAUAAGAUGACAGGACAUACAAAGGUAACAUAAGAUGACAGGACAUACAAAGGUGACAUAAGAUGACAGGACAUACAAAGGUAACGUACGAUGACAGGACAUACAAAGGUAACAUAAGAUGACAGGACAUACAAACGUGACAUAAGAUGACAGGACAUACAAAGGUGACAUAAGAUGACAGGACAUACAAAGGUACCAUAAGAUGACAGGACAUACAAAGGUAACAUAAGAUGACAGGACAUACAAAGGUGACAUAAGAUGACAGGACAUACAAAGGUGACAUAAGAUGACAGGACAUACAAAGGUAACAUAAGAUGACAGGACAUACAAAGGUGACAUAAUAUGACAGGACAUACAAAGGUGACAUAAGAUGACAGGACAUACAAAGGUAACAUAAGAUGACAGGACAUACAAAGGUGACAUAAGAUGACAGGACAUACAAAGGUAACAUAAGAUGACAGGACAUACAAAGGUGACACAAGAUGACAGGACAUACAAAGGUAACAUACGAUGACAGGACAUACAAAGGUAACAUAAGAUGACAGGAUAUACAAAGGUAA